AGCGGGUUCUGAAGCUUCUUGAGAGGCCUUACUCCGCACAGCCUGGUGUGGAACAUCCUGGCUGGCUUGGGCAAGCUCAUCAAGGGACGUGUGGUGUUGGCGGACCAGGUGGAGCCGAAGUGGAGCGUAACGGGAAGGAUCCAGACUCAGUGGCACGUUGCCUCCCCUAUGACAGCAAGCCGCCCUCUUGGGCGAGGGAGGUCUGCGUUACAUGAUCCUCAUAGGCUCUCCCCAACCCCAGCUGAUUGCGGAGAAGGUGCUGAGGUUGUAGACUGUAUCCCGGUCACGUACUGUAUGUUGAGGCUGACACUGGUGGUUGAAUUCAGUCAAGGCAUUUGAGGAAGUUGUUACUAUGUGAAUAUGCCAUGGGCCCUAGGAAAUAGAUGGUUUGACUGAAUUUUUCCCUUGGCGGGAGUCUAUCAACAGCAAGAAUAAAGAGAGUUUAUAUCAUAAACAUCUCUUUUUUUCUUUUCCCUUCUUCCAGUCAGUCUGCGGUUAUCAUGGGAGGAGAGGCAACUGGCAGGAAACCCUUGUAAUCACAUUAUGCAUAGAGACUGUGUAUCUGAAGCAGAGAUGUCAAAUUUGUUAUUGCUGUGAAUACUUUAAAGUGUGUACUGGCACUUUGUAUCCAAAUAUUUGAUUUGAAUUGUAAUACGUUUGAUGACAACUGUGAUGUGGACGGGUCAUUUCCUGUGACUGUCCACUGUGUGCACAUACCAUACAACUUUGUGCUCUUGCUUGUGUACACAAAAUUCGGCAUUUCUGUGGUUGAAAAUGACUGCUCAGACCACCAGUCGACAGUGACAGGUCUGAACAUGAUGGACAAGGGUGUUUCUGAUUUUAAGCUUUUAUAUACACGCACACAAAAACAUAAUCAUCUAGGUACAGCAUGCAAUAUCAGAAUUACUGAUUUUCUGAAGUUCCUAGCUCUUGUAUUGCUGUACUUUACAACGUCGUCAGCUCCUCAGUUUUCGGUAUGUGUCAUUAUACUGUUUACAUCUAGGUCACUAUAGUACUUGAAUCAUGCCUGCAGUACUACAUCUGUCAUGACAAGGAACGUCUAUAAAACAUACCUUUUUAUGUUAAGCUUAAAUAUGUAUGGACCUAAAUAACAACCUUAAAUAAUGCUCAUACUAAUGAAGUUGAAGAAAGCUCACUGAUUUCUGGACUAGAGACUUGUUCAUUAUGUAAAUCUGUAAUGCUGAAUGCAAAUACACCAUAUAUUCAUAUA